ACGCUGGCGGCAGGCCUAACACAUGCAAGUCGAGCGGAAACGACACCAUCGAUUCUUCGGAUGAGUUAAUGGGCGUCGAGCGGCGGACGGGUGAGUAAUGCCUAGGAAAUUGCCUUGAUGUGGGGGAUAACCAUUGGAAACGAUGGCUAAUACCGCAUAAUGCCUACGGGCCAAAGAGGGGGAYCUUCGGGCCUCUCGCGUCAAGAUAUGCCUAGGUGGGAUUAGCUAGUUGGUGAGGUAAUGGCUCACCAAGGCGACGAUCCCUAGCUGGUCUGAGAGGAUGAUCAGCCACACUGGAACUGAGACACGGUCCAGACUCCUACGGGAGGCAGCAGUGGGGAAUAUUGCACAAUGGGCGAAAGCCUGAUGCAGCCAUGCCGCGUGUAUGAAGAAGGCCUUCGGGUUGUAAAGUACUUUCAGUUGUGAGGAAGGGUGUGUAGUUAAUAGCUGCRYAUCUUGACGUUAGCAACAGAAGAAGCACCGGCUAACUCCGUGCCAGCAGCCGCGGUAAUACGGAGGGUGCGAGCGUUAAUCGGAAUUACUGGGCGUAAAGCGCAUGCAGGUGGUUCAUUAAGUCAGAUGUGAAAGCCCGGGGCUCAACCUCGGAACUGCAUUUGAAACUGGUGAACUAGAGUGCUGUAGAGGGGGGUAGAAUUUCAGGUGUAGCGGUGAAAUGCGUAGAGAUCUGAAGGAAUACCAGUGGCGAAGGCGGCCCCCUGGACA
rnacentral:rRNA from 1 species